GGGGUUGACUGGAUUUGACAGCGGGUUGGAAUGGUACGUAAGCAUGCGGAGCGCCGUCUGUCGGCUCCUUAAUCCCGGCGGUCAAGAAUUUAUCUGGCGAAACAAAUUACGCUCUCGCUGCCUAAUCGAAGUACAGUAGAUUACUGGCUUUAUUCCGUCACCAGGUGAUGGAACGAGACAUCGCUCAAAGGCUGUCGUUCCGAGGCUCUUUGGCAAAGCGGUGCGGUUAACUCGGAAAUAGUCGCGUUGUGCCUCGCCGGCGCGAUGAAGCUUUAGAGGAUAAGGUUGCGGUUGGUGGUCCGGGUCUUGCCGCAACUCGAAAAACGAAGUCCGGAAUAAGCAUGUAGAAAGCGUAUGGUUUCCCUGUUUGGACGAGGGUUCGAAUCCCUCCAGCUCCAC
rnacentral:tmRNA from 1 species